AUAAACGCCGGCGGUGUGCCUAAUACAUGCAAGUCGUACGCAGGUGCUUGCAUCUGAGUGGCGGACGGGUGAGUAACACGUAGGUAACCUGCCCCGGAGCGGGGGAUAACAUUUGGAAACAGAUGAUAAUACCGCAUAACAACAAAGCCGCAUGGCUUUUGUUGAAAGAUGUUUGUAUCACUCUGGAUGGACCUGCGGUGCAUUAGCUUGUUGGUGGGGUAACGGCCUACCAAGGCGAUGAUGCAUAGCCGAGUUGAGAGACUGAUCGGCCACAAUGGGACUGAGACACGGCCCAAACUCCUACGGGAGGCAGCAGUGGGGAAUCUUCCGCAAUGGACGCAAGUCUGAUGGAGCAACGCCGCGUGAGUGAAGAAGGCUUUCGGGUCGUAAAACUCUGUUGUUGGAGAAGAAUGGGAGAGUAACUGUUCACGCAGUGACGGUAUCCAACCAGAAAGUCACGGCUAACUACGUGCCAGCAGCCGCGGUAAUACGUAGGUGGCAAGCGUUAUCCGGAUUUAUUGGGCGUAAAGCGAGCGCAGGCGGUUGCUUAGGUCUGAUGUGAAAGCCUUCGGCUUAACCGAAGAAGUGCAUCGGAAACCGGGCGACUUGAGUGCAGAAGAGGACAGUGGAAUUCCUAGUGUAGCGGUGAAAUGCGUAGAUAUUAGGAAGAACACCAAUGGCGAAGGCAGGUCUCUGGGCCGUUACUGACGCUGAGGAGCGAAAGCGUGGGGAGCGAACAGGAUUAGAUACCCUGGUAGUCCACGCCGUAAACGAUGAGUACUAAGUGUUGGAAGUCAAAUUUCAUCAGUGCCGCAGCUAACGCAUUAAGUACUCCGCCUGGGGAGUACGACCGCAAGGUUGAAACUCAAAGGAAUUGACGGGGGCCCGCACAAGCGGUGGAGCAUGUGGUUUAAUUCGAAGCAACGCGAAGAACCUUACCAGGUCUUGACAUCUUGCGCCAACCUCAGAGAUGAGGCGUUCCCUUCGGGGACGCAAAGACAGGUGGUGCAUGGUCGUCGUCAGCUCGUGUCGUGAGAUGUUGGGUUAAGUCCCGCAACGAGCGCAACCCUUGUUACUAGUUGCCAGCAUUUAGUUGGGCACUCUAGUGAGACUGCCGGUGACAAACCGGAGGAAGGUGGGGACGACGUCAGAUCAUCAUGCCCCUUAUGACCUGGGCUACACACGUGCUACAAUGGACGGUACAACGAGUUGCGAACUCGCGAGAGUAAGCUAAUCUCUUAAAGCCGUUCUCAGUUCGGACUGUAGGCUGCAACUCGCCUACACGAAGUCGGAAUCGCUAGUAAUCGCGGAUCAGCAUGCCGCGGUGAAUACGUUCCCGGGCCUUGUACACACCGCCC
rnacentral:rRNA from 1 species